GGCCUGGAGGCGGAACGGUCCGCGCCCACACUUCAUAUGUGCACACUGGCAUGACAUUGCGUGGGAGUGCCUUGUUCGACUCAAGGCCAGGUCA